AGCCUGAUGCAGCAACGCCGCGUGAGGGAUGAAGGCCUUCGGGUUGUAAACCUCUUUUGUCCGGGACGAUAAUGACGGUACCCGGAGAAUAAGCCCCGGCUAACUUCGUGCCAGCAGCCGCGGUAAUA
rnacentral:rRNA from 1 species